rnacentral:rRNA from 1 species
UGUAAGCGUAUACCAAAGUUGUUGCAGUUAAAACGCUCGUAGUCGGAAUUUGGCAGUUCCGGAUGUGUGCACGUCGUGUGCGCACUUCGCGGGGAUUGCUUUUGUGGUCUUGCGUAGGAUGAGGCACUUUUAUUAGUGAACGUCCUCACGCAACCACUUUUUACUGUGAGAAAAUCAGAGUGCUCAAAGCAGGCAUUUGCCGUGAAUGUAUUAGCAUGGAAUAAUAGAAUAGGACUUGGUUCUAUUUUGUUGGUUUGUUGGGACUGAGUAAUGAUUAAGAGGGACAGUUGGGGGCAUUUGUAUUUCGGUGCUAGAGGUGAAAUUCUUGGAUUUAUGAAAGACGAACUUCUGCGAAAGCAUUUGUCAAGGAUGUUUUCAUUAA